UCCUACGGGAGGCAGCAGUGGGGAAUAUUGGACAAUGGGCGCAAGCCUGAUCCAGCCAUGCCGCGUGAGUGAUGAAGGCCCUAGGGUUGUAAAGCUCUUUCAGCGAGGAGGAUAAUGACGUUACUCGCAGAAAAAGCCCCGGCUAACUUCGUGCCAGCAGCCGCGGUAAUACAAAGGGGGCUACCGUUGUCCGGAAUCACUGGGCGUAAAGCGCACGUAGGCGGACUUUUAAGUCAGGGGUGAAAUCCCGGGGGCACACACCCGUAACUGCCUUUUAUACUUGGAAAUCU
rnacentral:rRNA from 1 species